GAUUCCGUAGCUCAGCUGGUAGAGCAUUACACUUUUAAUGUAGUGGUCCUGGGUUCGAUAUCUUAUAAUCCCAGCGGGAUCACAA
rnacentral:tRNA from 1 species